AUGAAAGCAGAGUUGGCGGAGAAAGGCAGAGACGGCACUGAGCGACGCACUCCUACACUCGGAAACACAGCCCCAUCUGUCUUCUCCCUGGCUUCCUGCUGCACCAGCACAAGCAGCGCUUGCCGAGAUAGACACCUUGUCUGUCUUGUGACCGGCUAUUCACCAUCAUCAGUGAGAAUCCGGUGGAAUUCUGGCAGAGUGACCGAGGGGGUGCGGGACUUCCCAGAGAUGAUGGCCAGGAAUGGGCUUUACACCCAGAUCAGUCAGCUCACCAUCCCUGCUGGUGACUGGAGGGGUGACACCUACCAGUGCGAUGCGACACACGAUGCGACAAGGCGAACACUGUCCAAGACGUUCCCAGAGGAAUCAUGCGGUCCGAUGAUGCCACCCCAGGUUCGCCUCCUGGUCCCCCCCUGUGAGGAUAGCUCCACAGGGAGCCAGCUGGAGCUGAUUUGCCUUCUCCUCAGCUUCCGACCCAACAAAGCCAAUGUGAAAUGGCUGGUGAACAAUAACACGACGAAUCUCCCCACCACUGCCUUCUCUUCUUCGUUGGGUGCAGACGGCACCUACAUAGGACAGAGCCACUUAAAGGUCACCAAAGAAAGCUGGGAGAAAGGGGAAGAAUUCACCUGCCAAGUCACCCACCCAGCUGGGGGAUUAAACCCCUUCGUGCAAAAUACCAGCAAGUGCUUGGCCUGCCCCAAAAGCGCACUUCAACCAAGCAUCUACCUGGCCAAACCCUCCUAUGAAGACGUGAUCAAGAAUUCUGGUCACGUGACCUGUCUAGUUUUAAGUUACGACUUAGCAGCCACCACAAUCACCUGGCAAGUGGAGGGGAAAGUCAGCUCUGAGGGGAAAACAGAACCCCCCAAGAAGAACAACAAUGGGACCACCAGCCUGGUCAGCUCCCACCCAGUGUCGCGGGCACAGUGGGGAGAAGGUACCAGAUUUACCUGCAAAGUGAGAACCCUCUGUUCUGGAGAACUCACCCAGGAGAUAACCAUGGUCAAUAAAGACAUGGAUAAAAAGGAGCCUUCCGUCACCAUCUCAAAAGCCUACCACGAAAACCUCUCAGGGGCCAAAGAGUCCUUGACGCUCAUCUGCGAAGCUAGCGGCUUUUAUCCCAAAGACAUCAGCAUCUCCUGGUUGAAGGACAACACCCCAGAACUCACGGCCACUUACAGAAAUGGUCCCAUGGAAGGAAGUGGGGCCUUCUCAGCCUACAGCAUCCUAAAGGUCAAUCGAAGCGAAGAGGCAGAAAACUGCACCUGCGUGGUGCAUCACCCGGCUUUGGAGGAGCCCAAGAGUGUGAUGGAAAAAGUGUCCUUCAGUAGCAGCGACUGUCAUCGACCCCCUCCGAAGGUCUUCCUCCUUCCCCCAUCCCUGGAAGAUCUCUACAUAGCACAGAAUGCCACCAUCACUUGUGUGGUGAGCGGCAUGGAGACCCCCAGUAGCCUGGAGAUCUCCUGGAGCAGGAGCAAUGGAGGCCCGUUGAUGGUGAACUCCAGGGAGCCGGUGCCGCAUCUAAAUGGCACCUACAGCACAGCCAGUGUCCUGAGGGUGUGCGUGGAGGAGUGGCAGUCCGGGGAGGAGUUCACCUGCACCGUGAAGCACCAAGACAUCCCAUCGGCCGAGGUCAAGACUAUUCACAAAAGUCUCGAGGUCUCUCUCCUGGCCCCUUCUGUCUACGUCUUCCCUCCUCAUGCGGAGGAGCUGGCUCUCCAGGAAUGGGCCACUAUCACCUGCCUGGCCUCCGGCUUCCGACCCAGAGAUAUCUUGGUGACAUGGACCCGGAAGGACCGGCCCCUUCCGCAAGAAGCCUACAUCAAUAUCGGCCCCACGCGGGAAGCUGGGGAGGAGGAGAGCUACUUCAUCUACAGCAAGCUCAGAAUCCAGGCCUCUGAGUGGCAGAAGGGGGACACCUACUCCUGCAUGGUGGGGCAUGAAGGCCUGCCCAUGACCUUCACCCAACAGAGCGUGGACAAGGCCUCAGCGCCUCUCUGCCUGGUGGAGGACCAAGGGGUCUGUGCUGAAGGAGGAGAGGGGGAAUCGGAUCCUCUCUGGACUCCUGUAACCUUCAUCGCUCUGUUCCUGCUCAGCCUGGUGUACAGCACCGGCGUCACGCUGCUUAAGGUGCGAUGA